rnacentral:rRNA from 1 species
UGGGGAAUAUUGCACAAUGGGCGCAAGCCUGAUGCAGCGACGCCGCGUGAGGGAUGACGGCCUUCGGGUUGUAAACCUCUGUUAGCAUCGAAGAAGCGAAAGUGACGGUAGGUGCAGAGAAAGCGCCGGCUAACUACGUGCCAGCAGCCGCGGUAAUACGUAGGGCGCGAGCGUUGUCCGGAAUUAUUGGGCGUAAAGAGCUUGUAGGCGGUUGGUCGCGCCUGCUGUGAAAGGCCGGGGCUUAACUCCGGUUUUGCAGUGGGUACGGGCUAACUAGAGUGCAGUAGGGGAGACUGGAAUUCCUGGUGUAGCGGUGGAAUGCACAGAUAUCAGGAGGAACACCGAUGGCGAAGGCAGGUCUCUGGGCUGUAACUGACGCUGAGAAGCGAAAGCAUGGGGAGCGAACAGGAUUAGAUACCCUGGUAGUCCAUGCCGUAAACGUUGGGCACUAGGUGUGGGGGACAUUCCACGUUUUCCGCGCCGUAGCUAACGCAUUAAGUGCCCCGCCUGGGGAGUACGGCCGCAAGGCUA